GGGGGGAUUUUUUAAUAACACACACGUAUCGGCACAUUUUUCGGGUGCUUGAACUUUGUUCAAGUUGAAAAGUGGGGUGCGUGGAGGGAAAAC
rnacentral:sRNA from 1 species